rnacentral:sRNA from 1 species
AACAACAUGAAAGGAGGUGAUCCGGUGUCUCAUCGCAUCAACCAGGUCCUCGUGGCCGCCACUCGGAUCACCGUGCAGGGCUGAACCCGCACGGGUCACCAGGUGACGCGGGCCGCGAACCGGCCACGCGAUGGGAAGGCCCCGGCGGGAAACCGCCGGGGCCU